GUCUGUUAUAUUUGGACGGACAUUGUCGAGCGUACCGUCGUCGCAACAGCACGCGCACUAUAUUUAAAAAACGAAUCAUUAAAUACAUCGUAUUGUAAUUAUAUAUUAUUUUAAACUGUACUUGCGCGGCUAACCGAAUUCACAUCCAACAUGUUUAACUUGGGAGGAGCGAUGAAAAAUAUUUCAGCUAAGGCUGAAGAAUUAGUAGAGGAAAAGAAACAUGCUGCAACUUCACUUCUUGAGAAACAAGUCAAAGAAACCGGUGAGUUCUUAUCAAACACGCUCAACGAGGCAGAAGGCAAAGCUGUGAGUGCCGCAGAAGAGGCGAAAAAGGCAGCUGUGGACGGUUUUGACCAGGAGGUCGAGAAACUUGCUGAUAGUGCCUUACAGGAGACUUCUAAACACAAUAUUGGUGGUGGUGGUUUAUUAGGUGGAAUUAAGAAUUCAAUUGGUCAUGUUGCUAGUAAAGUGGAGAGUAAUAUCGAGGGUUCGGUACACAAAUUAGAAGGCGCAGCAAGUGCGGUGACCAAUAAAUUAGAUGAUUCGAUUGUCGGUAAGGUAGCGCAUUCGGUAGGGGAUAAAGCCCACCAAGUGACUGAUAAAGUCCACACAGCGGCUGAUGGAGUGACUCACACUGUGCAGGGAGUCAAAAGUACGAUGAAGGGAGUAGCCAGUACGGUGAAAGGAGUCUCCAGUAUGAUUCAAAGCACUACUAAUGGAAUGGAGACACCCGCCGCACCGGCACCCGCCCCUGUUGUCGCCACCCCGGAACAACAGUCGACCGUCGGCCAGGUGGCCUCCGAGGCCAAGACGCUGGUGGACAAGACAGCCGCCGAGCUGAAACCGGCCCUAGACCAAGCGGUGCAUGACAAGAUCAACCCGUUGGCGCAGGACCUGGCCAAGAAGUUGCAGCCGAUCACAGGCGACGUGUCCGCGCACAUCAACACGGCGCUGGCUGAUGGCGUCAAGCAGUUGAACCCGAUUGUCGACCAAGUGUCGACGACGGCCAAAGGAUUUGUCGACGAUACCGCCAAACAGGUGAGCUCGGUGGUGGACGACAAGCUCAAGGAGGCCGACCAGUUGUUCAGCGAGAAGCGCGACGCUCUCGGGGAACCGGCCAAGAGCAUGAUGUCCAAGGCCAAGGGAUUGUUCGGCUGUAAGUUAGGUUGCUGUACUAUCAUGUAGGAAAAAAAAUUCUCACACAAAACCCGUGUACGCACAGUCUACACACACUGUCGAUGUAUAUUAUUGCCAGAAUCAAUCAACUACUAAUCACUACAUAUUAUAUGCGUAUAGUGGGAGUAGCGAGUUGGCUAUAAAACUGCUAUAGCGUGCUACCUGCUAAAUCAUUUUAAUUUUACUCAUAUUUAUGAUACCUACAUAAUAUUCCACAUCUACCUACUACUUAUGAUAUAAACGAGCAUUACUUUAAGUGGCACACGCGUUUAAUGUAAUAAUUGUAUCUUUUUACCCCUUAAAUUUAUGUUUAUCGGAAAUUGUAUUCAUUUUAAGGUGCACUUUUGAUUUUCAAUAUUCAUUUUUUUUUUAUACGUCCCAUACACGACGAUUUAUUUUAUAUUAUCGUAAUUAUUACUAUUAUUAUUAUUAUUAUAUACGUUUUACUAUUGAUUUUUUUUUUGAUUUUAUGCAUUCUUAUAUAUAUUUCUAGUCGUUCACCGUGUAAUUUACAUUCAUAUAAAAAAUUCAAAUAACCCGUACCGUAUUUUACAAUUACCAACCGCUCACGGAUAAAUGACGGCGACAAUGUACCGAAACGCGUCAAUAUUGUAUAAUGAUUCAUAAUAUAAUAUUUUAAUGUAUAAAAGCCAAAAGGCACAACUAAUAGCGGUCGAGUACACUGAUAAUAAACGAUAUGAUAUUAUAAGCAUAAUCGUCCACAGACAUUAUUGUUGUGAUAUUUUUGUUUACUUAUAAUCAUUAUUUGGUAUAAUAUACGAUUAACACGCUUGCUAUUUUUUACAUGAAA